UCUGCCCCUAGAGGCAUUGCAGCUAUGGCUGCUGUGUCACAGGUGUGUCAGUAGGUGGCAGAGACGAGACAGGCUAUGUCUAUGCUCAGUGUUCUGACCUGGGAUACCCUGAAAAAAAAUGAGCCUAAGACA